GACCUGGCCGGGCGGUCCGCCUAACGGUGUGUACUGUCUGGCCGGGCCUUACCUCUUGGUGAGCCAGCAUGCCCUUCACUGGGUGUGUUGGGGAACCAGGACUUUUACCUUGAGAAAAUUAGAGUGUUCAAAGCAGGCGUGACGCCCGAAUACGUUAGCAUGGAAUAACGAAAUAGGACGCGCGGUUCUAUUUUGUUGGUUUCUAGAGUCGCCGUA
rnacentral:rRNA from 1 species